CAGAAACAACCCAGUGUUCGACGUGGCCAAGGAGCUCGGGCUGUUAGGGGAACCUGUAGCAGAACCUGAUUGGGAGAGCAACGUCGUGACGAGCGACGGGGAGAAGAUGCCCUUGGCGAACGUCCUUAAGGGCGCCAGCAUCCUGCAGCAGCUCCGACAGGACGAAAGGGAGGAGCACCGCUUCCCCAUGUACAGAGACCGGCCGCUUGGGGAGUUCUACCUGGACAGGUUUGAAGAGCUGUGGGGAUCCUCUGAUAACGAUAAGGACAAACAGGCGUGG